CCAAACGGCCACAUCGGCUCCCCGUCAUGGCACCUGGACCCCGGUGGUUAUUCCACGGUUACCGAGGCUCCCUGCAGCAAGCAUGUCACCGGGGGGUGCAGGACACCAUCGUGGGUUAGUUGCUCUCGAUCGUUGAUGUCAUGUUGGAGCUGCAAGAAACGCGGAGAGGCAGAGGGACUCAGGUGCGCGCAACGCAGGGGCUGGCCCGGCGCGUAAAAAUGCCGGAUGAAGGAGCCAAAAAGUCCUAAAACCCAAUGAACCCUGCUUUUAACAACUAAACCACAUCAAGGAGGAAAAAGUCCCAAACACUUGCGGCUGCAGGAUGAGGGUGUGACUGACCACGGGCUCAGCCAAUCACAAGUCCUCCUCUGCUAACCAGCCCAGCCCUCUGGGAUAAUUGGAAGCGGGAGGAGGGAUCAGAUAAGAAGGAGGACCGGCUGAAGGAUUCCACUCAGCA